GAAGGUCUUCGGAUUGUAAACUUCUUUGAUGAGGGAAGAAUAAUGACGGUACCUCAAAAACAAGCCACGGCUAACUACGUGCCAGCAGCCGCGGUAAUACGUAGGUGGCGAGCGUUGUCCGGAAUUACUGGGUGUAAGGGGCGUGUAGGCGGGAUUGCAAGUCAGAUGUGAAAUUCCGGGGCUUAACCUCGGCGCUGCAUCUGAAACUGUGAUUCUUGAGUGCUGGAGAGGAUAGUGGAAUUCCUAGUGUAGCGGUGAAAUGCGUAGAUAUUAGGAGGAACACCAGUGGCGAAGGCGACUAUCUGGACAGUAACUGACGCUGAGGCGCGAAACCGUGGGGAGCAAACAGGAUUAAAUACCCUGGUAGUCCACGCCGUAAACGAUGGAUACUAGGUGUAGGAGGUAUCGACCCCUUCUGUGCCGGAGUUAACACAAUAAGUAUCCCACCUGGGGAGUACGGCC
rnacentral:rRNA from 1 species